CCGGCAAACGGGUGCGGAACACGUACGCAACCUACCCUUAUCUGGGGAAUAGCCCGAAGAAAUUCGGAUUAAUACCCCAUAGUAUCACCUGGUGGCAUCACCGGAUGAUUAAAGAUUUAUUGGAUAGGGAUGGGCGUGCGUCCUAUUAGCUAGUUGGUGGGGUAACGGCCUACCAAGGCGACGAUAGGUAGCUGGUGUGAGAGCACGACCAGCCACACGGGCACUGAGACACGGGCCCG
rnacentral:rRNA from 1 species